UGGGGGAUAUUGCGCAAUGGGGGAAACCCUGACGCAGCAACGCCGCGUGAAGGAAGAAGGUUUUCGGAUUGUAAACUUCUUUUCUAAGGGACGAAGAAGUGACGGUACCUUAGGAAUAAGCUCCGGCUAACUACGUGCCAGCAGCCGCGGUAAUACGUAGGGAGCAAGCGUUGUCCGGAUUUACUGGGUGUAAAGGGUGCGUAGGCGGCAAUGCAAGUCAGAUGUGAAAUGCACGGGCUCAACCCGUGAGCUGCAUUUGAAACUGUGUUGCUUGAGUGAGGUAGAGGCAGGCGGAAUUCCCGGUGUAGCGGUGAAAUGCGUAGAGAUCGGGAGGAACACCAGUGGCGAAGGCGGCCUGCUGGGCCUUAACUGACGCUGAUGCACGAAAGCGUGGGUAGCAAACA
rnacentral:rRNA from 1 species